AGAGUUUGAUCCUGGCUCAGGAUGAACGCUGGCGGCGUGCCUAACACAUGCAAGUCGAGCGAUCUUCUUCGGAAGAGAGCGGCGGACGGGUGAGUAACGCGUGGGUAACCUGCCCUAUACACACGGAUAACAUACCGAAAGGUAUGCUAAUACGAGAUAAUAUAAGAAAUUCACAUGUUUUUCUUAUCAAAGCUGAGGCGGUAUAGGAUGGACCCGCGUCUGAUUAGCUAGUUGGUAAGGUAAUGGCUUACCAAGGCGACGAUCAGUAGCCGACCUGAGAGGGUGAUCGGCCACAUUGGAACUGAGACACGGUCCAAACUCCUACGGGAGGCAGCAGUGGGGAAUAUUGCACAAUGGGCGAAAGCCUGAUGCAGCAACGCCGCGUGAGCGAUGAAGGCCUUCGGGUCGUAAAGCUCUGUCCUCAAGGAAGAUAAUGACGGUACUUGAGGAGGAAGCCCCGGCUAACUACGUGCCAGCAGCCGCGGUAAUACGUAGGGGGCUAGCGUUAUCCGGAUUUACUGGGCGUAAAGGGUGCGUAGGUGGUUUCUUAAGUCAGGAGUGAAAGGCUACGGCUCAACCGUAGUAAGCUCUUGAAACUGGGAAACUUGAGUGCAGGAGAGGAAAGUGGAAUUCCUAGUGUAGCGGUGAAAUGCGUAGAUAUUAGGAGGAACACCAGUAGCGAAGGCGGCUUUCUGGACUGUAACUGACACUGAGGCACGAAAGCGUGGGGAGCAAACAGGAUUAGAUACCCUGGUAGUCCACGCCGUAAACGAUGAUUACUAGGUGUGGGGGGACUGACCCCUUCCGUGCCGCAGCAAACGCAAUAAGUAAUCCACCUGGGGAGUACGACCGCAAGGUUGAAACUCAAAGGAAUUGACGGGGGCCCGCACAAGCGGUGGAGCAUGUGGUUUAAUUCGAAGCAACGCGAAGAACCUUACCAAGUCUUGACAUCCUUCUGACCGGUACUUAACCGUACCUUCUCUUCGGAGCAGGAGUGACAGGUGGUGCAUGGUUGUCGUCAGCUCGUGUCGUGAGAUGUUGGGUUAAGUCC
rnacentral:rRNA from 1 species